rnacentral:rRNA from 1 species
AGAGUUUGAUCAUGGCUCAGGAUGAACGCUGGCGGCGUGCUUAACACAUGCAAGUCGAACGAAGCACUUUGGAUAGAUUUCUUCGGAUUGAUAUCCUUAGUGACUGAGUGGCGGACGGGUGAGUAACGCGUGGGUAACCUGCCUCAUACAGGGGGAUAACAGUUAGAAAUGGCUGCUAAUACCGCAUAAGCGCACAGUACCACAUGGUACCGUGUGAAAAACUCCGGUGGUAUGAGAUGGACCCGCGUCUGAUUAGCUAGUUGGCAGGGUAACGGCCUACCAAGGCGACGAUCAGUAGCCGACCUGAGAGGGUGAUCGGCCACAUUGGGACUGAGACACGGCCCAA